rnacentral:rRNA from 1 species
GCGCACCAGUCGAGAAUAGUCUACAAUGGACGAAAGUCUGAUAGUGCGACGCCGUGUGUGCGAUUAAUUCCUUCGGGAUGUAAAGCACUUUUCUAUGAGAUAAAAGCUCUUUAGGUUAAUAGCUUAUUGAGACGGAUAUUAUUAUAGGAAUAAGCUCCGGCUAACUCCGUGCCAGCAGCCGCGGUAAUACGGAAGGAGCGAGCGUUGUCCGGAUUUACUAGGCGUAAAGGGCUAGUAGGCGACUAAUUAAGUUAUAUGUUAAAUCCCACGGCUCAACUGUGGUCCUGCAUGUAAUACUGGUUAGAUAGAGUACUGUAGAGGAAGGCAGAAUUCCUGGAGUAGCGGUGGAAUGCGCAGAUAUCAGGAGAAUACCAAAAGCGAAGGCAGCCUUCUGGGCAGUUACUGACGCUGAAUAGCGAAGGUGUGGGUAGCGAACAGGAUUAGAUACCCGUGUA